ACGGCUCAGUAACACGUGGACAACCUACCCUGAGGUCGGGGAUAAACCCGGGAAACUGGGUAUAAUACCCGAUAGAUCUAGAUCGCUGGAAUGCUUUUAGGUCUAAAGUUCCGACGCCUCAGGAUGGGUCUGCGGCCUAUCAGGGUAGUAGUGGGUGUAAAGUACCUACUAGCCUACGACGGGUACGGGUUGUGAGAGCAAGAGCCCGGAGAUGGAUUCUGAGACACGAAUCCAGGCCCUACGGGGUGCAGCAGGCGCGAAACCUUUACAAUGCUGGCAACAGCGAUAAGGGGACCUCGAGUGCUACGAUACAAUCGUGGCUGUCUAGUUGCCUAAAAAGCAAUUGAUAGCAAGGGCCGGGCAAGACCGGUGCCAGCCGCCGCGGUAACACCGGCGGCUCGAGUGGUAACCGCUAUUAUUGGGUCUAAAGGGUCUGUAGCCGGCUUAGUUAGUCUCUUGAGAAAUCUGGCCGCUCAACGGUCAGGCGUUCAGGGGAUACUGCUAAAGCUCGAGACCGGGAGAGGUGAGAGGUACUUCAGGGGUAGGGGUGAAAUCUUGUAAUCCUUGAAGGACCACCAGUAGCGAAGGCGUCUCACCAGAACGGAUCUGACGGCAAGGGACGAAAGCUAGGGGCACGAACCGGAUUAGAUACCCGGGUAGUCCUAGCCGUAAACGAUACUCGCUAGGUGUCGGCCACGGUGCGACCGUGGUCGGUGCCGUAGGGAAGCCGUGAAGCGAGCCACCUGGGAAGUACGGCCGCAAGGCUGAAACUUAAAGGAAUUGGCGGGGGAGCAC
rnacentral:rRNA from 1 species